rnacentral:rRNA from 1 species
UACGUAGGGUGCGAGCGUUGUCCGGAAUUAUUGGGCGUAAAGAGCUUGUAGGCGGUUUGUCGCGUCUGCUGUGAAAAUCCGGGGCUCAACCCCGGACUUGCAGUGGGUACGGGCAGACUAGAGUGUGGUAGGGGAGACUGGAAUUCCUGGUGUAGCGGUGAAAUGCGCAGAUAUCAGGAGGAACACCAAUGGCGAAGGCAGGUCUCUGGGCAGUUACUGACGCUGAGGAGCGAAAGCAUGGGUAGCGAACAGGAUUAGAUACCCCGGUA